UAGGGAAUCUUCCGCAAUGGACGCAAGUCUGACGGAGCAACGCCGCGUGAGUGAAGAAGGAUUUCGGUUCGUAAAACUCUGUUGUUAGAGAAGAACAGCGCAUAGAGUAACUGUUAUGCGUGUGACGGUAUCUAACCAGAAAGCCACGGCUAACUACGUGCCAGCAGCCGCGGAAUACGUAGGUGGCAAGCGUUGUCCGGAUUUAUUGGGCGUAAAGCGAGCGCAGGCGGUCAAUUAAGUCUGAUGUGAAAGCCCCCGGCUCAACCGGGGAGGGUCAUGGGAAACUGGUUGACGUGAGUGCAGAAGAGGAGAGUGGAAUUCCAUGUGUAGCGGUGAAAUGCGUAGAUAUAUGGAGGAACACCAGUGGCGAAGGCGACUCUCUGGUCUGUAACUGACGCUGAGGCUCGAAAGCGUGGGUAGCAAACAGG
rnacentral:rRNA from 1 species